rnacentral:rRNA from 1 species
UACGAAGGGGGCUAGCGUUGCUCGGAAUCACUGGGCGUAAAGGGUGCGUAGGCGGGUCUUUAAGUCAGGGGUGAAAUCCUGGAGCUCAACUCCAGAACUGCCUUUGAUACUGAAGAUCUUGAGUUCGCGAGAGGUGAGUGGAACUGCGAGUGUAGAGGUGAAAUUCGUAGAUAUUCGCAAGAACACCAGUGGCGAAGGCGGCUCACUGGCCCGAUACUGACGCUGAGGCACGAAAGCGUGGGGAGCAAACAGG